rnacentral:rRNA from 1 species
AGAGUUUGAUCCUGGCUCAGAAUGAACGCUGGCGGCGUGCUUAACACAUGCAAGUCGAACGAGAAAGGGAUUGCUUGCAAUCCUGAGUAGAGUGGCGCACGGGUGAGUAACACGUAGAUAAUCUACCUUCAAGCCCGGGAUAACCAUUCGAAAGGAUGGCUAAUACCGGAUGCAGUGCAUAUGCACAAGUAUAUGUAUGAAAGACUGCCCCUUCUUGAAAGCAGUUGUUUGAAAGAUGAGUUUGCGUACCAUUAGCUUGUUGGUGAGGUAACGGCCCACCAAGGCUGUGAUGGUUAGCUGGUCUGAGAGGAUGAUCAGUCACACUGGAACUGGAACACGGUCCAGACUCCUACGGGAGGCAGCAGUGAGGAAUUUUGCGCAAUGGGGGAAACCCUGACGCAGCAACGCCGCGUGAGUGAAGAAGGCCCUUGGGUCGUAAAGCUCUGUCAAUUGGGAAGAAGUUAUGACAUAUUAAUAGUGUGUUGUAUUGACGGUACCAGUGGAGGAAGCGCCGGCUAACUCCGUGCCAGCAGCCGCGGUAAUACGGGGGGUGCAAGCGUUAUUCGGAAUUAUUGGGCGUAAAGAGCGCGUAGGCGGUCUUUUAAGUCAGAUGUGAAAGCCCGGGGCUCAACCCCGGAAGUGCAUUUGAAACUAAAAGACUUGAGUAUGGGAGAGGGAAGUGGAAUUCCUGGUGUAGAGGUGAAAUUCGUAGAUAUCAGGAGGAACACCGGUGGCGAAGGCGACUUCC